UUACCAGCUGGGGUUCAGAAACGCGAUGGGGUUUAUUGUAAAGUGACAUUGCCCUGCAGAGAAGCUGACCGGUGUCCCCGUGCAUCCCUGGCUGAGGCGGGCAGGCGCCUGUUCCCCCCACGACCCAGGCUGGCUCUGCCCUUCUCCUGUGCCACAUCAACGCCACUUCUCUCCCAUUUCCCCACCGAAGGGGAGGUGGCACAGCGGCGAUGGAUGCACAGAAGCAGGCUUGUGACUGUGACACAUCUCUCGGUUGUUCCUGGAGGUGCUUUCCACCUACGCUUGUCCUUCAGCUCCAGCCCAAGCUGCCUCACAAAAGGAGCCCAGCACAGAACCAGGAGGAGUAGCCAAGUCAGCAAGUUUUGAGGGCCUAGGAUUGUUAGAACGUGGCUUUGCCAGGGCUAAAGGGAAGCACCUACAGCCGCCUGCUCUCCCUGGCUAUGCCUGGGGCCGAGAUGGCUCCCAGCUCUUCUUGCAGCACAGCCACCCCACAGAGUUUUGCACCACGGUGUUGUGAAGGAUGCUGCGUUGUGUGUGAAGCAGAGGGAGAUGACAGCUGCAUGCUUCGCUGCCAGAAGCAACACUGAGGCUGGUACAAGUUCAGACCUGACUGUGAAGUGCCAUGUGUGUGAGGUGGGAGGGUCAGGGGAGGCAAUGAUGCCUUCAAAGUUGACAGGACCAUUGACAAGGGAGCAGUUGCUCACUGGGAACUGAGGACGUGGUCCAAGAAGAAGCUUCAGGCGGAGCACAACGUGCCACCAUCUCUGGCAGCAUCAGCAGCACUAACAAACUGAGGAGAACAGGCCACGUGGUGGCUGAGGGUCAUUGAACAGUGAAUGCUGGAAGUAUUCAUCUGAACCAACAGCCUCAGAGUGUUCACACCCUUGGGGACAAAAGACUCAGUUUUAAACCUGAUGGUGUUUAAAGAAGCUUUAGAAUAUGCCAUCUUCCAAAGGCCCCAGAACCACCAACUACGAGGAAAAAUACAUUUUGAAAGCUUGAGGUGUUUAAGGCCCACUCAUACCUUCAGAUGCAUCCCACAAAUGAUCUUCAAAUGCUACAUAGCAUCAAUUAUGCUCUGAAAGUGCUGUUCUGGUCCAAAGAAACUCCACAUGUUUUCUGCAUGUUUCUCCUAUGUCUUGUCUGCAGAGCAGCUGAUCCAGAUGUGCCGCUCAAGAUUAAAGGGAACGCUCUCACUCAGGAAUAAAUGUGGGGUGGGUUUGGUUUAAUGUAACGAAGAGAAUGCGCUUUUUUUUUGCAUUUUGGCUCAAUACAGCUUCGCGUUACAAGUAUCCACAGAGGUAAUUCAGAAGGAUGCUCUAGUUUAGACUUGCACCCUGUGUAAUUAUCCACCAGGUGUAGGCUGAUCCUUGUGGCACCCAUGUGAAGCGUAAGCUGGAGGAUGGCUGACACGGCUGAGGCGUCGGGGCUUGCUGGGACCGGAUGAGCGCCAGCUCGCACCGACCCUGGUGGUAGGAGCCAGGGUAAAGAAGCUGGCAAAGUUUAGUCUCCCUUGCACAGCGUUGUCGGGAGCAGCCAGUUGCUGACUUGGAGCGGUAUUUCCUAAACAGCACGGCCCGUGCUUUUCCACGGCGUCUGCGUGUGCCUGCACGCAGAGCAGCUGUGUACAAAGGACACUGCACGCGUACCGUGCUGGUGGGCAAGGCUGGGUUUGCAACAGCGUGGCCGUGCUGUCUUCAAGAAGCAGCAAGAGGGAACCUGACUCCCCAGGUACUAAUGCAGUCGUGAAAAAUGAGCUGAGCCCGGAAAUAUUUUGAUUAUCCUUUUCCAAACAAAUCCGUAUUUGCAGAGGCUUGAUCUUUCCAUGUUUCUAGGUGCCAGACCUGGACGUGCUGACAGCAAGAGUAGUUUCUGGGGGAUGCUCAGUUAAGGCUUAAUAAUCCUGGAAAAAAACCUUUAGUCCUCAGUAGCGCGAUGGUCUGCGUUCCCCCACCACUCCCCCAGUGGACUGGCACCUUCGGCACCCAGACCUGAUGUGAACAUCUGAUGUGAUGCUGAAGGCACCGCGUAAACAGCAUGCCUCUGAUUUGAAUUUCCUUCUAACUGAAGUAUCAGUAUUAAAGACUCCAGCAUGAUUAUGGGGUCCCGUUGUGUAGGAAAUCGCCUUCAAUCCAUUCGACUGUAUCUGAGAUGAUUUCUUUCCCUUCCUGACCUCCAGAGAUUAUUCUGGAAAAACAAUUCUCAAGAUGCUAUGGCAGGGGGAAUAAAAAUAGCCGAACAGAUGAGCUGGUCUCUCUGAAAGUACAAAUACUUCCAAGUGCUUGUAGUGUAGAGAAAAUGAAGCCUGUAGCAGGAAACAGAAGGAAUCCCUAUACAAAAGAAGGAAAUUCGGGAAGAAUGACUAAUCUAGGAGAGGAAACUAGGUGCUGUGGCCAGCUGUUAGCAAGGCAAGUGUCUCUCAAAGCAUCAAGCCAAUGUGCCUAUCAUGGCAAGUGUCUCUCAAAGCAUCAAGCCAAUGUGCCUAUCCUGCCGGGCCCGGCAUGGCGGAUCCUUCCUGGUGGAGUAGGGCUGCUGGGAUCUCCCAGGGUCUUCAGAGACAGAGGCUCUGAGGACUGAAGUACUCCAUCUGAAGAAUGGUGCGGGAUGAAAUUCGAAAAUGCCUCUAAAAUGCCAACCUGGGAACUGCUUAUACCUGAAGGUGAUUUAGGAGGGAAGCCAAAUUUAAGCUUCCAGUGCUGGAAGCUGUUGCUUUUGGGAGGAGUGAUGGCUGAGAAAGAGCUUGCUGGCUCCUGUAGCCUCCUGUGGGUGCCUGCUGUGUGAUGUGAUCCUCUUGUUUCAAGAAAUGCCUCUCAGAGACAACAAAGAGCCCACAAUAAGCAAAAUACUUCUGAUCCAUUUUGCCCUUUCCAUCCAUCUCCCCUGUCAUGUCAGCAGAGCUGCCCUCCUUUCCCAGGGCUCCCAACCCUCAGGAAUUCCUGGGGAGGGGAGGUGUGGGGCUUUGGUUUUGGCUUUAACCGUUAGCUACCAAGAUUAUGCUGGGGAAUAGUUUGACCUGUUGGUGAAUGAGGGCUCAUACUUUAGAGAUGACGUGGCCACAGCACUCACAGGACUUUGGGGAAGUGAGAGAACAGAUAAGAAAAUAAGGAGGAGCUGAAAAACAGACGAGACUCAGAAAAGCCCUCGCUGUCGCUUCUACCUUGAGCAAAAGACCGGCCAUCGUUGCUUGAGGCGUGGAUGGGGAGAGAUUGAAAAAUAAGCCACUAAGCUUCCUGUCAUCUGCAGGUUUGUCCUGCCAAGAUGUGAGCUCAUCAAGUGGAACAAAUUCAUCAAGACCCCUCCCUCCCCGCCCCCCCAGCCUAUGCCUGACCUCAUACCUUUUAGAGAGCAGCGUCCCACAGGCUCUCUCUCUCCUCAGCAUAGACACUGGAGACUUUGCAAUGCUGUAAACACUUCCCCGUGGCCUUGCACAGCACUGGUGACCCACUAACAACUUGGUCACUGCCAACCCUUCCUCUUGGCACCCCUGCCUGUGCGCGAUGCUGGUCUGAAUCCGUUUCAACCCUGCCCACCAAAAGCUUGCUGCCACUGCCUUCAGGUUGGACUCGGUUGCUUCAGCAGAGCCUUCCAGCAGAAGUCAGAGUCAACAGUCUCCGACCCCAUCACCCUCCCGUACAUUGCCCUGUGGCAGAUUCAAAGACUUUGACCGCGCGUUGAGCAACCCUGGGAUCUGUAAUGCAGAGUUGCUGCUGCGGUCAGGUCAUAGCAGGCUCCAUGGCUCCAGGUCAGUGAUGGAUGGAUGUGCCAUACUCCAGACGAGGAUUUAUCUAGGCUAUUUGGGUUAUUCUAGGCAUCUACAUUAUCUCGGUAUUCAGUAUCCAUCCCUCUCCAUGAUCCAGGACUGGCAGAUAACCUCAUCCCCACAGCCUCGAAACUUUUAGCUGCUCCUUUUCUCCUCUCCAUCGCACGCCGCUUCUGCCCCAACGCAUCUCGCUCGAUUUCACUGUAUUCACUGAAAAGCGGUGUGAGAGUUCCCCUUAGCCUGCCAAAUUAUCACAAAACCGGAGCACAGCAUUCAGAGUGUUUUGUUUAACAAAAGCUGGGAGGCAGCCUGGUCUGUGGGGACGGGCUUUGGACAGAGAGUCGCAGUUGUCCUCGCAGCCACUGGCCCAGCUGGGACUUCCAGUGGUGAUCCUUGCCCGCAGGUCCCGGUCCCUGGCUUGCUUGAAUCCGGCCAAGGGGACAAAGAAGACAAGGCACAGUGGGAGCCCAUGGAAUAAGGGAGAUGGGCUUGUGAUGCUGAUUCCUCUCUUCUCUGUUUUAUGCAUCCUAAAACUCAUUUCCCCUGAUCCUUUAGGGUGUGGGUUGGAGGCUGCAGAUGGCAGACGGGCUCUACCCUUCAGUCUUUGAGAAGCAGAAGCCCUUUGUAGGCAGCAUCUUCAAAGGGAGAUGUUAUCUCUUUUCAAACAGAUGGCCUUCUGCCCCCCAGGAGAUCUCUUCCAAAGGGACAGGAUGCCCACCUGUGAGCAUGAGUACAUGGUCUGGAGCAGAGGCACUGAGGAUGGCUGGGUCCUUCUGGGUCUCGCCACUGUGGCUGGAUUCUUUCAUAGCUCAUAAGUAGUGAUUCAUGCUUGGGCCGUUCUUUGUGGCAGGGGUUUUUAUAACAGCUUUCUCUGAUGUAUAAGAGCUGAGUGAUGAAUUCUUCCCUCACUCAGGAUAUUUAUAGUGUCUUUCUUUCUUCUUGAGCGAGUCACCUAUUUUCGCAAGGCUCGUAGGCGCUUCGUGUCAGUGAGACUUCAGCUCCUCUGCCAAAUCUGGGGGAGACUGGCCAAAGGGUUCAAAAAUUGCUCAGGACUGGGGUGAUGGACUGGCUGGGGGGAUGUCAGGUCCCCGUUGCACAAGCCUUGCAUCUUAAGAAAUCAAGCUAAAAGCCAUGAGACUACGCAGUUCACCCUUUAUUUUUGGAGGCACCAAGGGUCACGUUUCCCAUCUGCUUCUCCACAGACGAGCAGGCUAACAUUUUGCUUCUCAGUUUGCACCGGACCUGGCUUCUCAGUAUUUUUCUGUGGAAGCUGGGAUGAUAUUGAUAUUAUCUCUUCCAGCGAGCAUCAGCUCUGACCGUCCAGAGCAUCUGGUGUGGGUUUAUUAUAGCUCUUCUGCUUACACAGAAUGGAUGUGGACCAGCACGGAUUUCUUUUCACCGGGGGCUUAUACUGCACUCUGGGUAAGCAAGUAUAGCUACCCAGCUACUUCUGUGUCCAAAAACCAUGUGUCUGGAUACCUGUAUUGACCUGGAGGGCUCAUGAAAGUAAGUGGACCAGGUCACCAGCUAAGUUGCCAAGAUGUCCAUCCAUCCAUCCAUCCAUCCAUCCAUCCAUCCAUCCAUCCAUCCAUCUCCCCUAAGCCACUGUUUGGUAGUCUCACGUACGGAGCUGGAGCCGCAGGAAUGAAUGCUUGCACAAUGGGGGUUUGAGCCUCAGGGAGGUCUCCUGUCUAAGCAGAAAAAAAAUGGCAGGUUUUAAAAUGCUUCAGAGCCAUUUGUGACUUUCUCCAAGGAGAGUUUUGUGUCUUCUGCAGGCUAUCAUCUCCCAUUGUGGGAAUAAUACAAAAUAGAAUAAAACUGAGAGUGAAACAGUAUUCUGAAGGCUUUUCCCAUCUGUACCUAUUCCACUGCUGCUGGC